CUCUCAUCCGAAGUAAGACGAGGUAUCUCGUAUCCAAAGUAAGACGAGGUAUCUCGCAUCCGAAAAAGAAGGGUACGUCGUAAAAUACAUAGUGAAAUGAAAAAAAAAAGAGAAAAACCAAACUCGAGAGAGUAGUUCGCCACGACUAGUUACUCCGCACUCCUCAUGACGAACUGGGGGGAGUAGAUGAUCUGGACUAAUUUGCACUGGGCCCAAAUUAUAUAUGAACCCGAAGCCCAUAUAUAAAAGCCCAUCAAUCAGCCCCUAUUCUCUCUCUCAAGCCCGUCAAUCCACCGGCCCAUUAACUUCCUGGCCCAUCUCUCUCCUUAUCUCCAUGGCACGCACUUCAAGGCA